UGAGGGGUAGAAGGGGUCUCCUGUUUCUGGCAAGAACAAGUGUUGGGGUGGGAAGAUAGAAGGAGAGCUGUGAUAAUUGAAGAUUAUGAUCAGAGCCCUCUCCUCAAACCUAACCUCUCAGUUCAGAAAAAUUUUAUCCUCUUCCCAAAGGGCAAUGUGACCUUCAGGUGCAACAUGUCAGAUGAUGAUUUGCCACCCCAGAAAUGGAUGUAUCUUCUGUUCAAGGAGGGGAAUUCCAAGCCCUUAGGUGCAAAGGCUACAGAAAGAAGCUGGGUUGAGUUUACCCUACCAUUUGAGACAACCCAGGAUUUUGGACACUACAUCUGCAAGUUCUUUGGCUCUCAGAACCCACAAAUAGAGUCAGAGGCCAGCACGGUCCUGGAGAUUUCUGAGAAAGAUUAUAAAGUCUGAAACAAAGCACCAACAAGAGAACAAAUCUCAAGUUCCUUCUGCAUAGUUGGGGGAGAAUCCCAAAAUUCCAAAGAUCAGCCUUGAGGUCCAUGCUCUUCUGGAAUCCCUCCUGUGACCCGUAAAGAUUCACUUGGUCCAUAGACAAAGACAGGAUGAGGACUGUUAGUGCAGAUGUGUGGUCUCUGCCAAAAAAAGGGGGGGGAGAAUGAAAAAAAAAUCCAAAUGAAAGUACUUAAAGCUAACUCUCCAGAACCUGUGAUGAGUCUUCUUUCAGGGGAUGUUCCUGGAGGCAAACAGGCACAGUGACUCUUAAGAAUAUAAAAUCAAGUAGUCUUGUAGGAACUGAGGACAUGAUGAUGAUAACUGAUUUUAUUUUUUAAAGCAAAAAUGUUUAUUCAUUCUUUAACUUUUAAAAAUGUUUGAGUUCAAAAUUCUUUCCUCUCCAGCUUCUCCCCCACUCACUUGAAAGGCAAGAAAUAUGAUGCCCAUUAUUCAUGUGAAAUCACACAAAACAUAUUUCCAUAUCAGCCAUGUCACAAAAACACAAGAGAAAUAAAGUGAGAAAACCAGACUCACAUUUGCAUUCAGCCUAUCAUAUCUUUCUCUGGAGAUGGAUAGGAAGUUUUCAUUAUGAGUCAUUUUGAAUUUCUCCUGGAAUACCAAGAUCAGCCUGAAGGGACUCUUGACUUCUUAGAGGCAACUUUCCUGUGAGUAUGACCAGGUGUGCAUCCACGGGGAAGCCAAGGUAUUGAGGAAGGAGGGAAGGCCCCUGUAAGAGGGUGUGUGGUUUGCAACUCACCCAAUAAAUCUCAGAGAUCUCUCAAGGUGCAAGGAGAAAGAUUAUUUGGUUCUCUUGAGAAUCGGGCAGCUACUCUCACCAUAUGGAGGAGUGAAAGUGAGGGCCCUGAGCACAGACAGAAGGGGCAAUGGGUAGGUUCUCUGAGGCUACUUUAACCCUACCCCCUUUGGCUCAUCCUCAUUGACUGAGAAUGGGACCUUACAUUCUAAGCUCGAAAAGUACAUCAAAUGGGGAAACAAUAUAUAGAUUCAAAUUUAAACAAAGACAGUCUUUUUGUUGACCUGAGACAUGUACUUUCAAUGCCUGAGAGAUAAGGGCUGGGUCAGUUUGCUCUACACUCUCCCAGACUUGCCUCCUAUAUCCUGGGAACUCUUUGCCAAUGAGGAAAGGCAAGGGAAAUGAGGAACCUGAUCCCAUUGCUUAGUUAAUUUAUAAUUUGCCUUUUGAAGAAAUGUCAAAUUUUCCAUCCAAAGGGGUCCUAAGCUGAGCUUUGGGAAACACCUAAGAUUCUAAGAGAUGGGGACAUUGUGCUUGACAGAGGAAGGGCAGAAAUGAGCAAACCAGUGAGGAUGCCCCUUUGCCUGUGUUUGAGGUGAAGAAUGGGAGGAAGGGUGGA